UCUUCAAUUUUAUUAUUUGAGGUAUUACCUGCUCAAUGCGAAAGUAAAUAGCCGCAGUAUUUUGACUGUGCAAAGGUAGCAUAAUAAAUUGGCCUUUAAUUGAGGUCUGGAAUGAAUGGUUUGACAAGAAUUUGACUUUCUUUAUUGAAUUUUUUUUGAAGUUGAGUUGUUUGUAAAAAUGCACACAUAUAAGAGAGGGACGAAAAGACCCUAUAGAUCUUAAAAUAUUAAUUUAUUUAUUUUAUAGGUUGAUUUUUUUAUUUGGGGAAAAUCUUGAAUUAUGAAAAUUUUCGGUUAAUUUUAAAAAAUUUAAAGAUUAAUUUUUGAUCCAUAAAAAUAUGAAAAAAUGAAAAAGUUACCUUAGGGAUAACAGGACAAUGAUUUCUUAAAAGAUCUUAUUUUAGGAAACGUUUGUUACCUCGAUGUUGAAUUAAGUUAUCUAAUUGGAGAAGAAAUUCUUAUAGUUGGUCUGUUCGACCAUUAAAAAC
rnacentral:rRNA from 1 species